ensembl:lncRNA
CGAAAAUGUAGUAAUUUUCUCAAAAUAAAACAAUACCAGAUGUUUCAGUACAACAGGUAUACCUUUCUAAAGCUCUUAAACUCUGGCGUAAACUCACCAACCAAUCAGUCAGCUCACAGUAGCAGUAACUUUAGUCUUUACUGCCUAAACCUGUUUACUGUCGAAAAAGAAAUAUAUACAUGUAAGAAUUCUUUACAUUUUGAAUAUGAAUAUUCUCGACAAGCGAGUAGUUAAUGUUUUUAAUUUGAGUUUUUAGCCGUUAAGCUCCAUUCAGCCCCAUUCAUAUUGAACUCACUCGCGGGCUCCCUCUAGUGGUUUUCAGUAAUUUUCUAAUAGAACGGAGGAGGCGGGAGUGGGCAGUCUCUCCAUCAACCGGCUCUGGCGCUUGGGCGGGAGUUUUGUGGCAGCUGUGAGUGCUGUGAGGGGAGACGGGUAGAAGACGGUGUAUAGACAGAACCCGGCUCUCUGAGAUUAGAAUGGAUCGGGUGAAAAAGCGCAGACCUGUCGGUUUAACGGGGAAGGUUUCCGCUCCGAGCUCGCGGGAGAGCCGCACUAUGACCCCCUUUAGGACAAACAAUUUGACGUCAUAUUCUCUGAAAUCUUGUCAAAGUAACUGUCGGAGCACUAAGGGAAGUGUUAAGAUGCCCCAUAAGAGACGCUUGGAGGCCAAAAAGUUCUACAGUAAGGGCAUGGUGACCCCCAGCACUAAGGACCCCAGUCAGGACAGCACAAGUAUAGUUAUGCCGUCUGGUGUUUCCAGCUUUUUGUUGGACUGCAUGGAUUUGGACUCAGAGGACACACUUCCUUCCAUCGAGACAUUUCGCAAAGCUGAUACAUACGAUGAGGGGACAGGUUUGGUCAGUGAAGAUGAAAUCCUGCACGUGAAGAACUCCACUCUACUUGACCUCAGUCAUGCCGUGGACAUAGCCAUGCAGCAACCGCCAAACCUCUCAUCCAUUCUAGAGCUUUCACCUGUAACUGAUUUUCAAGCAGCAAAGGAGACAUUUUGCCUGUCACCCCCUCUACCUGUGUCUCCUCUCAGCUCCUCCCUUUUGGUCAAACAGAAGAAUACAUCAAUGUCAAUGAGUACAGCAGGAAUUGACAUUGAAACAAGUGGCGAUGAUGAAAAGACUCCUAAAACCAGGAGAGUUAUACUGCCCUCUCCUGUUGUUAAGAAAAAGCCAUUUACAGGACGAGACAAGCCCAUUAAGUGCAGGAAGGUGACGUUUAAUGACAUUGUGAGUACACGAGACAUAACCACGCUUAACCCUGAAGUGGAAUCUCCGGUGGUCCUCCUGAAGCCUUCCUUAGAGCCAGCUAAAUUUUUUGAUUUUGCUGAUGAACGUGAGAGGGCAGCAUUUUUCCAAAGACUGAAAAAAACGCACACCUUCCACUUCCCUGCCAAACCGAUCAUUUUUCACUGACUUGGCUCUUAAUAAAGAUGACAUAUUAAGGUAGCAGCAGAGGGUGAUGUAUUCCGGUGUCUUUGUCCUACCUGUACAUGCACCUUGAUUCAGACAUAUACUUAUUGUUUAUAAAAAUAUUAAUUAUUAAUAAAAUGUUAAGAUUAGAAAUGUUUCUCA